UUUGUGAAAAAGAGCACUUCAAAUGGACGUAAUAGAUUUUAAUAGGCUCAUCCUUCAUUUAGAAAAGAUUUAUUCCAUGAAUUCAGAUGAAGGCCAAGUUUGGUGGCAGUUUCGAAGGGCAAAAGACCGAGAAAUGAGACCGCUGCUGUUGUCAGGACAACGCCCUAGGUCCUUAGCUGUGCUCGAAGCUACAGCAAGUGCAUUCCCACCACGCCUCACACUUUCGGUCAGCUCAGCCUCGCAAACAACGACUGGGAACUGCAGGCUGCAUGCCAACACCCAGCUAGAAAGGGCAACGAAUGAAAGGAAAGUGUGUGCGUCCUUUGUUUCUGAUGCUGGGAAACCUGUGCUAACACUAGUGUACUGCCUGGACCAUUUCCUGUUACUGAUAAUGAGAAACCCUGUGUGGGCCAGAAAAACAAAGCAAAACAACAAGCUAUCAAAUGAAAACUAGCGCACGUUCUCUUUUCCCUUUUAAUUCUAAUGUGGCUU
rnacentral:lncRNA from 1 species